CGAGGGCCGGGCCGCGCUGGACCCGGAACGGCCCGCGUUCUGACCGCGGACCGGCCGCGUUCCGGCCCGCGGGCCGUCGGC
rnacentral:tRNA from 1 species